rnacentral:ncRNA from 1 species
AUAAAGUCUUUGAAGAGAAGAGUAGCUAGUAGCGUUUUUUACAGAGAAUCUGCAUUUGGUGAGAGCAGAGGAAGAUUAAGCUAGUGAACAUGGUCUCUGAGACUCUGGGUCGAUAUUUAGGCUCAGACGGGUGCGCCUGUUAUAGCGCUAGGGUAUGAUAGUACUUGAAGAUAUUUUCGAUUUACUUGGUGUACCUGAUGAGGAGGUACUUGUGAAGGUAUCUCGAAAAAAGGUGGUAACGCGUUCAUGACGUCCUUUUC